UACAGAGGUCUCAAGCGUUGUUCGGAAUUACUGGGCGUAAAGGGCGCGUAGGCGGCCUGUUAAGUCGAACGUGAAAUCCCUGGGCUCAACCCAGGAACUGCGUCCGAUACUGGCAGGCUUGAAUCCGGGAGAGGGAUGUGGAAUUCCAGGUGUAGCGGUGAAAUGCGUAGAUAUCUGGAGGAACACCGGUGGCGAAGGCGGCAUCCUGGACCGGUAUUGACGCUGAGGCGCGAAAGCGUGGGGAGCAAACAGG
rnacentral:rRNA from 1 species